AUCAAGCUGAGAUUGAUUUUUGAGCUCUGAAUCAGGCAAAUGAUAGUAAAGAAACUAUGAAGACAAAGAGGAACAGGAUACAGUUUGAGGAAUUCAUGGGCUAACUGCAAGAUAAGCAUAUAAACAGUUUCAGGUGUACCACAUCGUGAUUCAAUGGUUCCAUCCAUUCCUCAAUGUUCACCAAGGCCUCACUAUUCCCUGAAACAUGAAAAUGCUGAGACGAAGCUAAUUAAUAACCCUACAACAGCCUCUAAGUGUCAC